GGAGGAGUCCCAUAGUGGUUUAUUGGAGCUCUUUUGAAAAGAGCCGCUAUUCAAUAGCACGCGAGUUCGAAUCCCGCCUCCUCCG
rnacentral:tRNA from 1 species